CAUUCCGGCCGACGAUUUGGUUAAACGGAGAAUCACGCGGUUCAUUUCCUGGCCAUAAUGAAGCCCCAAAUUGAAAAUCAUAGUCACCGGCCGCCUGACCGGAGAGCGUACUUGGCCCGGAGCUACAUCCUUCACCAUAAGGUAAAGUCAGCUGCAUUUGCGGGAGAUCUGUAAAACUGGAUGUUAGGAUCGCCGGUCCAAAAACCGAAACAUCCUCAAUCGGUAACAUCCGAUCCAAACUCUUAUGAAAUUGCUGCUUUAAUGAUUCCACUAGAGACUGCAUCGAACGGAUAAUUCUGUUUCAGUUUUGUUUCUAUAAGAAAGUUUCCGGGAGGAAUUAGAAAUUUAGAAUACAAACCAUUUGAAUUCCGGCGAGUUUUUCGAGGGGGAGAUAGUUUUGGCCGUCGAAGGUUGCUCCGACCACCGUGAAAACGGAAUUGAACAAAAGUCCGAUCCCAUCUACCUCAUACAUAUAAAGCUUAUCGUCUAGAACACAAGCUUUAGCAUGCUUGAUAAUCGUUUCCCAUGUCUUGUUACAUGAUCCACCAAGUAUCUGUAUAAUCGGAUCCAGAUAAUUUAGCGAAUUGCAUCGAUAAUAAACCUCUCAUGAAAUUAAUUA